UCAAGAAAGAACACACUCCAGUGGGCAUCCUUUAUCCAUCCAGACCCUCAUACAGAUGGUUGGAGUUUUGAUUCACCUAAAGUACCAUGCAAGAGCACUCAUUUUCCCUCUUGAGACCAUGGUGUGACCUGCAAGGUCGAAUGGAGACUGUAAACGAGACAAUCUUGGAGUCACCUGCAUUCACUGGUCCAGUUGUUAGUCCAAUUACAGAUGGAGAUUAUAGAAGAGGAUGAUGUCUUUUCUCCAACAUCUUUCUAGACUGAUAAAAGAUCUAGACAGGCUUGA